rnacentral:rRNA from 1 species
GGCUCCAUGUAAUUCAAAAAUAUGGAGUCGGACCUGCCCGGUGAAGAUUUUAACGGCCGCGGUACUCUGACCGUGCAAAGGUAGCAUAAUAAUUUGCCUUAUAAUUGAAGGCUAGUAUGAAUGGUUUGACAAGAAUAUCACUGUCUCUUUGUAGUUAUUUAGAAUUUUAUUUCAAGGUGAAGAAGCCUUAAUACAAUUGAUAGACAAGAAGACCCUAUCGAGCUUUAAAAAACUUAAAGGACUUUAAUUUAAUAUAGUUAAAAAAAGCCUUUAAAAAUUUUGAUUGGGGCGAUUAAGGAACAUUAAAAGCUUCCUCUAUUAUAAAUAAACUUAUAAGUCUUGAUCCAAAUAUUUUGAUUAAAAAAAUUAGUUACCGUAGGGAUAACAGCAUUAUCUUUUUUAAGAGCUCUAAUCGAAAAAAAGGUUUGUGACCUCGAUGUUGGACCAGAAUAUCCUAAAGAUGCAGAAGUCUUUAAGGGUUGGUCUGUUCGACCAUUAAAAUUCU